rnacentral:rRNA from 1 species
AAACUUUACAAUGCGGGAAACCGUGAUAAGGGAACCCCGAGUGCCCGUAUACCGAGCUGUCCAGGUGUUUAAAACGCAUCUGAAGAAAGGGCCGGGCAAGACCGGUGCCAGCCGCCGCGGUAAUACCGGCGGCUCGAGUGGUGGCCACUUUUAUUGGGCUUAAAGCGUCCGUAGCUUGGUUGUUAAGUCUCUUGGGAAAUCUCACGGCUUAACCGUGAGGCGUCUAAGGGAUACUGGCAACCUAAGGGACCGGAAAAGGUGAGAGGUACUCCAGGGGUAGGGGUGAAAUCCUGUAAUCCUUGGGGGACCACCUGUGGCGAAGGCGUCUCACCAGGACGGCUCCGACAGUGAGGACCAAAGCUGGGGGAGCAAACCUGGAUUUAUAUACCCGGGUAU